CCGGGAUUGGCCCUGUGUUUUAUCGUCCUUUGUGGAAUCGGGUCGGCGGAGGGAUCGGGAUCGGGAGGGGUCCUCCCUCCUGGGGCGGCGAGCCGGGACGGAUUAUUCUCUGCGGGGCAACACCAGCAAUUUCCCUUCGAUUAAUGCAUAAAAGGGCAGCGAGAUCAGAACGCAGCGGAGUGGCGCUUAGUGCAAGAAGUGCGGCAUAUUUUGUACAAUAUCCGAAAAAUGGCUCUACUGACAAUCCGGCAUGUGGCGAUUGUAUUUUACCCUAUUCUGGCAGCUUUCGGUGUUCCGGAAACCAACCCAGCGCGGAGACACGGCAGACUAUUGCUGCUGAACGGUUCGUCGCCGCUCUCUACGCUGAUGCAGGAUCAGGUUCACUGCUCCCACUCCCCC